ACGGUUCAUCUGUGAAAAUAAUGAUAGUCCUGCUGUCAUGUCUCGGCUCUGAAUCAAUAAUGCAUCUUCUGCCCAAGCAUAUUGAGAACGAGAGCAUGCAAAGUGGCCAGUAGGAUUUUUGCUUCGUCGAAGAAAAAAACAUUAAGUCAAAUUAUAUGAAAGAAUAAAAGAAUUGCAGUCUAGAGAGUGGUUGUUGAAAGCCUAUUUUCUCAUCUACCCAUAUGAUUUUAUGUGAUCCUCCAAAGGAUCCACCAAUCUUUUUUUUUCAUGCAAAAAGGAUUCGCUAAUCAUAUAAAUAGAUGUUAAAUAAACAGGGCAGGAAAUGUACAUAGCAACUUUAAAAUGUUCAGAGAAGUUCGUAUGUAUAUACAUACCAUAGUUACUUUAUUAUGCAUGUGUGCCAGUGUGCGGCGUUAUGGCUGUUUUGAUUUUCUGGGACUGAUCCAUUCACUCAUGAAAGUAUGAAACAAGGACGUACGGAUGAUUGAGCAAGGAUUCAAAUGGACCAUGGUGGAAACACAGCAACAGAGAGAAAAUAGCAGAGUGGAGCACUGUUUUUGCUUUUCUUUUCUUUUCCAUACUUCCUUUCCCUCUUCAUUUCAAGCAUUAGAGCUGGACAGUGCUUGCAGCCUGUCUUCCUGUCUGGCCAAUUCAUGUUGCGAAAUGCCAAUGUUGUCCAACAUCAACCCCACAGAAAAUGUGGUAUGUCCUAACAAAAGAUGCAACUGAAACAUGACAGCAAUGUUGUGGAAGCAUAAUGUGCACGUAGAUGUAACCCAAACUACAUCCUUGUGUACUUGUUUGCCUCCAACAAUCGAGAUAUGACAGGCUCAUACGUUAUUUAUUGUCUGAACCGACAGACUAUUCAGAAUAAAAGAAUCAACCUGCCGCAGAGAUGGACAGCAAGCUCACAAGCAAAUGGACUGGCAUGAUUCUUCUUGUCUGCUGGUUCAACUGUGUGUUGCUUCCACUUCUUUCAUUAUAUAUAGAGAGAGAAGCCCACGGAGAGUAGACACCAUUAGAGCAGCAUUCCUCUCCCCUCCAAAAGAAGAGAGCGCUGCAUUUUUCGCCCCAAGCAUGGCUUACCGUACAAGAUCUGCGAGUGCGCCUUCCAGCCGUUGCUCCAACGAACCCAGCAUCGAGGAUCAGCUGCAGAUUCAUUAACGAAACCAUCCGAGGAGGCUUGGAAGUGUGUCUACAACGACAUUUAGGAGAUCAUGUGCUUGACUAGCAACCAAGUCAGCCUGUGCCAACCAAAGCAAAGGAAAGCAGUGGAGGACGAGGUUGAGCGCGCGCUCCCUCUCUCUCUCCUGUUGCUUGAUUUCUUCGGUGCCAUGCAAGAGAGCAAGCUCGAGCAUUCAGGAGACAGGAGGUGCAACUGAUUAUCAAAAGGGGAGACGUUGAAGCCAAGAUUCAGUUUCGAACCCUAAAUAUGCUUUGUAAAGAAGAUGCAGAGAGCUGGAGGAGGUUCAAGAAGAUUAACAAUAGGUCUACCUUCAGCUAACCAGGAGAGCUGCAGGGUGGUCAAGCUGUUGGGUGAAGCUAGAGAUAUUGCUGUCUCAAUUCUCGAGUCCUCGUCACAUUUCCUGUCAAAGCAGAUUGCAGCAAAGUUCUAGCAAGUGGUCUUUCAACCACAAGACAUUUCCUAAAGAGAAGAGUUCUAUGUGAAGUGGAUCAGUUACAAGCCUAAAGCCUUGGAGUUGGACAUUGUAUAUCUUCAGUGUAGAUUUGGGACUUUGUUCUAAAAAAAAACUAUCCAAAGCAGAGUUUCCCUUCUCAACACUCUCAGCUUGUAGAUAGAUGUACCAACUCAACCCUUUGGCACCCCCCUUUUAGAUGAUCAGCUGGUCACUGCACAUAUAUGAGAAAUAUUGUACAGAAAAACAGUCACUUGGAAACAGAAACGUAAUUUUGAACUUGUUUUAUGUUAUAAACCAUAUGGUACAAUGACCCAAGUUUGUAGCAUCCAUCAAGAAAAUACUUUAUUAAGAACAAAUGAUGCUCCAAAGGUGCUCAAUACCAGUGACAGUUAUUAAAGUAGCUAGUUGUUAGGGUGCGUUCUUCAAGUUGAUAAUUGCAUGUCUUUAUUAUGACAUGCCCACGUUGCUGAGAUGCAAUAUGUUGCCUCAGCAACAAGCAGCAGAUCCUUGUCCAGUGGAUCUUGCUAACUAUAACUAAAACAAACCAGCUCCUGCACACGAGGUAGAGCGUGUAAGUAGCAUGAGCCAUGAGUUGCGCAGAGUAAAAUACCUACUGCCAUCUGCGACUGCGCAGCAACCAUACAACACGUACUUCACCAAUAAUACUUGGUCUGCGACCACUAAACUAAUCCCAGGAGCAUGCAAUUGUGUCAAGAUCAAGAUUGUCCAGUGGAGUAACUAACCUGUUGAUUCUUGUUGCCGCCAUUAGUUGGAGCAUGGCAAUGUGAUAGAUCACUGGGAGAGUGGGAGAAUAGCUGGCACACUAAAAAGAAUGAUAAACACACGCCGCGUGGUGAAGGAAACAGAUUCCUUAUGCUGCUGCCAGAUCUCAAACCUUGAGAGACAACACUGAGGAGAUGAAAUGGCAGGAUUCUCUUUGUCUACCAUUCAAAAGAUGCUGCCUCAUACCCUCUGUCUAUAAAUAGGGUCUCGCCAGAGACUUGAAUCAUCAACCAAAGAUUUUCGCUUCUCAUUACUUCACCUCAUUUCAAUAUACAUCCAGCCAGAGACUAGAGAUCGACAUGGCUUGCCAUCUUAGGUCGAUAAGCUUGCCGUCUAGGCCUCAGUCCGGCGAAGCCGCAGUGCAGCAAGAGCUGUGUAUUCUAGAUGCAAUCAUCUCCUCGCCAUCAACAUGUAUCGUCACGAUGUGUGACGGUUUGAGGAGGCUUGGAGACAUCUACAACAGCGUUGUGGAGAUGACUCACUUGCCAAGCAACCAAGUCUGCUCUUCCCAGCAAAGGAAGAUGCUGGAUGGAGAAAUCGAAUCUUCCCUCGAGCUGCUGGAUCUCUGCAACACCAUGCAAGAGAUCUUUGUUGAGUUGAAGGCCAUCAUCCAAGAGCUGCAGGUGGCUCUAAGAAAAGGAGAUGGCGCAACCGUUCAAGCCAAGAUCCAGUCCUACAGCCGCUUGGUGAAGAAGGCUAAGCAGUCUUUCAAGAAGUCAAGCAAGAAGGCCACUUCUGACAAGGCAGACUGUGCAGUGGUCAGGCUCCUGACCAAGGCCAGGGAGAUCGCCAUCUCUCUACUUGAGACCACGGUGCAGCUCCUGUCAAAGCAAAUUGAGGUGCCGAAGCAGUCACUUGUCUCAAAGGCGUUUUCCAAGAGAAAAGCAGUUGUCUGCGAGGAGGACCAGUUACAGGCGUUAGAGUGCAGCGUUGGAGAUCUCGAGAGCGGAGCAGGACACCUGUUCAGGAUAUUGGUCCAGAGCAGGGUCUCUCUCCUGAACAUCCUUAGCUCAUAGACACUCCUUGUUGCUCUUGACAUCCUGUGAUUGGCAUCCGCGUUUUUGAGGAUUAGCUAAUCUUGAUGCAGUUUUGUAAUAUGUAUAGAGUACAAAUGUAUAGGGGGGGAAAUCGGAAAGGAAAAAAAAAGACACAGUUUUGAUCCAAUUCAUUUUUGUUGACGUGAUUUUGUGCAUUCAGUAAGGAUUGCUUUGUUUUCGGAUGCUUAAUUUGUGGAUCUUGCCCUGCGUACAAGAAGCAUGCCAGAUCACAGCCACAAUGGUUAAGCUGAAAUAGCAGAAUAAAUUAAUCAUCCAGAUUCCCCCUACCACGUUGGUGCAGUAAACCAAAUUUCAGCCGCCCUAAACCAGCUGAAUCAGCCAAGUUGAAGGCGAGGCAAAGGUGCGUGUCGCCCUUACAGAUCGGGAGGAGCCAAAUGGCAUGGUCCGUACCAGACGGAGUUGUGUGUGUAGGGACCAGGGAGCUUUGGGGGUCAGUGAUAGAAUUCAACUUCCCGUCCCCUGAAUUGGCUCCGCCGCGGCUUUCGAAUUGUAGAGCGCUCCUCGCGGUCCUCCCACCCGUUUCGUCCUCGUCGUCGGGCGUCGGCGACCCCGCCGCCUUCUCCACCUCGAGGCCACGGACUCGGCUACUCAGCGUUGCAUUGGUGGUGGGGUGGCACCGGACUUUAUCCCGCCGCCGCCGGACGGCGACUGUCCAAGGGUCCAACUCGGAACGAAUGUAUUUUCUGAAAAUGAGAUUCCAUCCUUAGUAGAGUGGUAGAGCGAUGAUUUUGAUGGCAACGUGUAAGGUUCAGGAGAUGUUCCUCAUGUCAAAUCAAACAAAAAAUGGAGGUGAAAGAUACCAUGGCAAUAGCAAUGUGGUAUCAGGCUGCCUAUUCCCAAU
rnacentral:lncRNA from 1 species